rnacentral:lncRNA from 1 species
AGUGUGGAAUGUAUUUGCACCAUCACCAAUCUUUCUAAGUUGUAUAUAGCUUCUUUUUAGAUACUUGAAUUGUCUAAUCUAUACGAUUCAUCAUUUGUCCCUUUUACAUUUCUGUUAGUUAAUUUUUAUCUCUUUUCUUUUCUUGAUUUGAAAGUUGUAAGUGUUUGCGACACAAUGAUAAGUCCGCCAACUAUCAAUUUUAGAAGCCCACCAUUGUUAACGCUACCAACCCAUUUUGAAGCCACCGUUGUUCAAGCCUUCAUUGUUGAAUGAAGAAUUCAACCACCAAUCACCUUCUUUAAGGCUAUAAAUAGAGUCUUAUGUUUACACAGAAAAAUCAAUCCAGAGAGAUUGAAAUACAAUCCAGGAAGAGAUUGUGAGAACAAAAGAGAGUUUGG